GAUGAACGCUAGCGACAGGCUUAACACAUGCAAGUCGAGGGGCAGCGGAGGCGAGUGCUUGCACUUGCCAGACGGCGACCGGCGCACGGGUGAGUAACACGUAUGCGACCUGCCCGUAGCAGGGGGAUAAGCGGAAGAAAUUCCGUCUAAUACCGCGUAAUAUCUUUCGGGGGCAUCCCUGAGGGAUUAAAGGAAGCGAUUCCGGCUACGGAUGGGCAUGCGGCGCAUUAGCUAGUCGGCGGGGUAACGGCCCACCGAGGCGACGAUGCGUAGGGGUUCUGAGAGGAAGGUCCCCCACAUUGGAACUGAGACACGGUCCAA
rnacentral:rRNA from 1 species